rnacentral:sRNA from 1 species
UCUAGCCUUUAAAAAGCACCUUUGCACACAUGAAAGUGGAGGGAGAAAGAACAUAUUUUAUUAUCAUAAGUGAAGUGAGAGUGAGAAGUAGAAGACUAGAGGAACAAAAGUGGAGGAGUUUUAACAUCAAAGAACCCAUUGGAAGAUUCUCUACAUUUAAGAGAUGAAGGAAUGUCGUCUGAAACAAUACCAACGAAGAAAGAGAUCGAAGAAUAAGUUAGAAGGAUUCAAGUAUACUUAGGAGUUUAUAGUUGAAAUCUGAGUUUAAAAUAUGUAUAUCAACUGUGAAUUUUUUUUUAAGUGUGAGAUUACGGGAUGUUACCGUAAUUGUAAGGUUAUAAUAUAUAAAUUAUGAAUUAUCCAAUGUGAGAUAUUGGGAUGUUACACUUCACGCAUCAAGCAAAGAGCAUGUCUCGGCCUGGAAGGAGUUUUUCACGAAAGCACCUUGGAGAGUAAAUGUUUGUCCUCUUUUAAAAAUGGAGCAUGGUGCACGUAGAAAGUAGAGGGGAAACUUCCCCUUAAUUGGAGAAAAGUGGAGCACCACUCAUUCAUUGUUUUGGACGGCCAGAGAAGGGGAGUUGAAGUUUUUUU